GACACGACUCUCGGCAAUGGAUAUCUCGGCUCUUGCAUCGAUGAAGAGCGCAGCGAAAUGCGAUACGUGGUGCGAAUUGCAGAAUCCCGCGAACCAUCGAGUCUUUGAACGCAAGUUGCGCCCGAAGCCAGCCGGCCAAGGGCACGUCCGCCUGGGCGUCAAGC
rnacentral:rRNA from 1 species